UACAGAGGGUGCAAGCGUUAAUCGGAAUUACUGGGCGUAAAGCGUGCGCAGGCGGUUGUGCAAGUCAGAUGUGAAAUCCCCGGGCUCAACCUGGGAAUUGCAUUUGUGACUGCCCGGCUAGAGUGUGUCAGAGGGGGGUAGAAUUCCACGUGUAGCAGUGAAAUGCGUAGAGAUGUGGAGGAAUACCGAUGGCGAAGGCAGCCCCCUGGGAUAACACUGACGCUCAUGCACGAAAGCGUGGGGAGCAAACAGG
rnacentral:rRNA from 1 species